GACGAACGUUGGCGGCGUGCCUAAUACAUGCAAGUCAACUGAAAUACCGGUAGCAAUACUGGUAUGGAGGUGGCGCACGGGUGAGUAACACGUAGGUAAUCUGCCUUCAGGUCUGACAUAACCCAUCGAAAGGUGAGCUAAUAUCAGAUGAUGCAGCGGCUUGACAUCAAGACAGUUGUUAAAGCUUCGGCGCCUGAAGAUGAGCCUGCGCUGAUUAGCUAGUUGGCGGGGUAACGGCCCACCAAGGCUGCGAUCAGUAGCUGGUCUGAGAGGAUGAUCAGUCACACUGGAACUGAGACACGGUCCAGACUCCUACGGGAGGCAGCAGUAAGGAAUAUUGCUCAAUGGCCGAAAGGCUGAAGCAGCAACGCCGCGUGAGGGAUGAAGGGCUUUUGCUUGUAAACCUCUGUAGCGAGAGACAAAACUCCC
rnacentral:rRNA from 1 species